AGCCUUGAAGGUCUGGCUGUUUUCCUGAGUAUCUGCCAGUUGUAUUCUUAACUUGCUGCCUUCUUUUCUCAAAAGAAAAAAAAAGACUCACCAGAAAUUGAUUACCUACCCAAUCUGCACUAUACAAAACUUCUAGAUGACUGAGUUUAGAAGGGCAGCCUGAACCCACUUAAUUUGUUUUACUUAAUCACCUGAGCAACCCAAGCUUGACAGUCUCAUGUAGAAUUACAAAAUGUCAUCAUAUAUGGCCGAGAGAAUGAGAAUUAAGUGUGGAAGAUGUGAUGCAGAAAGCAGGCUAGAAAAGCCUAUCAUACUACAAUGGAACUAAAAUGUUGUAAUUCUAAGAUUUUCUUCUGUCUCAACCAGCUAUUUAGGUUGUCUGAAAUCUGAACUGUGAAUGUAUUUGUGGUGAACGAAGAAUACUAGCCUCUUUUGGAAGAAGUUUGAAGUAAUUGGAUUCCCAGAAAGAAGGGGCUACUUUCCAUAGGACAAAGAUGCAGCAAAGCUUGGAAAGUCUGGUUCACAAGAAGAGGGUUAAAACAGUUUCACCCUAGCUAUUUUCAGAAGAUAUCUGCAGUUACCCAAAUGUAUUUUUUUUUUAGUGUGCCAGGAUUUUGUAUAUAGGUGAAGUAUAAUAAAAUAAAUUAUUCUGCA